rnacentral:misc_RNA from 1 species
GAUGAAGAACGCAGCGAAAUGCGAUACUUGGUGUGAAUUGCAGAAUCCCGUGAACCAUCGAGUCUUUGAACGCAAGUUGCGCCCGAAGCCACUAGGCCGAGGGCACGCCUGCCUGGGCGUCACACGCCGUUGCCCCCCCAUCUACUCCUUCGGGAUUGCGGGGGGGCGGAUGAUGGCCUCCCGUGCGCCUAGCCGCGCGGUUGGCAUAAAUACCAAGUCCUCGGCGACGCACGCCACGACAAUCGGUGGUUGCGAAACCUCGGUUGCCCGUCGUGUGCGUUCGUCGCGCAUCGAGGGCUCGAAAAAAUGCUCGGCUCCGGCUGGGCUUUCAACGCGACCCCAGGUCAGGCGGGGUUACCCGCUGAACUUAAGCAUAUCAAUAAGCGGAGGA